UUUCUGGGGUUAAGGGAAAAAAUCACCACUGGCCUUGGUAUUGGGAGGUUUUCUACCCCUCAUUUCUCGGCUUAAAUACGGCUAGUUUUAUUUUAACUGGUAGUUACCUUUUGGUAGUAACCCUACAUAAAAAGUACCCCUACCGAAAUAAAUACUAGGUGAGCUUUUCGGCUCCACCCCAAACUCUUGAUCUGAAAUCAGGCGGGAUUACCCGCUGAACUUAAGCAUAUCAAUAAGCGGAGGAAAAGAAAAUAACAAUGAUUCCCCCAGUAAUGGCGAAUGAACAGGGAAAAGCUCAAAGUUGGAACCUCCUGGCCUUAGGUUAGGCGGAUUGUAAACUAAAGUUCUCGAGUAGUUUGGUUAGCCCGGUAAAUAAGUUCUCUGGAAAGGGACGACAAAGAGGGUGAGAUCCCCGUUUUUGGCCGGAGCAUAAUCUUGCGUUUGCUUGGGAAUGAAGAGUCAGGUUGUUUGGUAUUGCAGCCUAAAGUUGGAGGUAAAUCUCUCCUAAAGCUAAAUAUUGACGAAAGACCGAUAGCGAACAAGUACCGUGAGGGAAAGAUGAAAAGCACCUUGAAAAGGGGGUCAAAAAGUACGUGAAAUUGCUGAAAGGGAACCGUAUGAAAUCAGCUUGGCCUUGUAGUCAUCAGCCUGAACUUUGGUUUGGGUGCACUGGCUACUAGGUACAGCCUAGGACAAUUUUGUUUGGAGGAAAAAAUCAGGGGAAAUGUGGCCUCGGCUUUUGGUUGAGGUGUUAUAGUCCUUUGAAAAAUACUCUGGGCGGGAUUGAGGAACGCAGCAAGCCAUUUGGGAUGAACUGGGGGUGCUUAUUCGUGUAGGGGAGGAAAUUUCUAUUCAGGUAGUGUUCUGUCAUGCAUGGGUAACUCGCCCACUUUUUCUUUUUCUUGCUUAGGUCGUAGGCAUAAUGAUUUUAUAUGACCCGUCUUGAAACACGGACCAAGGAGUCCACCAUGAUUGCGAGUCUUUGGGCGUAGAAACCCAUAGGCGAAAGGAAACUGACCAAGAUAUGAAGGCCUCACGGCUGGCAAUAUCCUCCAGCGAAGACGUUUUAUACUGAAUUGACUGAGAGAAAGCACUCAUGAUGGGACCCGAAAGAUGGUGAACUAUACUUGAAUAGGGUGAAGCCAGAGGAAACUCUGGUGGAAGCUCGUAGCGAUUCUGACGUGCAAAUCGAUCGUCAAAUUUGAGUAUAGGGGCGAAAGACUAAUCGAACC
rnacentral:rRNA from 1 species